rfam:Xenopus laevis strain J chromosome 1S, whole genome shotgun sequence.
UCAGCAGUGAUGAUUGGCGCAGGGGUACAGACCUCAGCUGGAUAAUGGGAGCUGAGUGCAGAGGCAAGUCUGUCUGGUGAGCUGAUGUGUGGUCGGUGACUGGAAGACUCUCUGCGUGAAACAGUCGCCAUACUGAGCUAU